rnacentral:tRNA from 1 species
UAGCUCAGUUGGUAGAGCAUGGUGUUUCCAUGCCAGGGUUGUGGGUUCAAUUCCCAC